rnacentral:rRNA from 1 species
UUUUAUGGAGAGUUUGAUCCUGGCUCAGAGUGAACGCUGGCGGCGUGCCUAAUACAUGCAAGUCGAACGAUGAAGCUUCUAGCUUGCUAGAAGUGGAUUAGUGGCGCACGGGUGAGUAAGGUAUAGUUAAUCUGCCCUACACAAGAGGACAACAGUUGGAAACGACUGCUAAUACUCUAUACUCCUGCUUAACACAAGUUGAGUAGGGAAAGUUUUUCGGUGUAGGAUGAGAC